rnacentral:rRNA from 1 species
UACGUAGGUGGCAAGCGUUGUCCGGAAUUAUUGGGCGUAAAGGGCGUGUAGGUGGAUUUUUAAGUCGUGUGUCUAAGUGCGGGGCUCAACCUCGUAUAGGCGCAGGAAACUGGGAAUCUUGAGUGCAGGAGAGGAAAGUGGAAUUCCCAGUGUAGCGGUGAAAUGCGUAGAUAUUGGGAGGAACACCAGUGGCGAAGGCGACUUUCUGGACUGUGUCUGACACUGAGGCGCGAAAGCUAGGGGAGCGAACGGG